CCUGGAACGGUUUUGACAGAGUUUGGAGGGCUGCUGCUUCUUCUUUUGGUUUUGUUAAUAUUUUUAUUUAGUUGUUAAUUAAUUCAUAGCUUUUUUAUAUUCCCACAGGAAGUUGGACACAGUUGGAAUAAAAUUUGACAAUAUUAGUAUAAGAGGACACAGUUUUGGAAUAAGAAAAAGGAAUUACUUGGACAGAAGCCUGGGACGGUUUAGACAGAGUUUGGAGGGCUGCUACUUCUUCUUUAGGUUUUGUUAAUAUUUUUAUUUAGUUGUUAAUUAAUUCAUAUCAUGUAUUCAAUUAUUUGGAUUGUAAUUAUGAAUACUAUCGGCUAAAAAUUCUCUUUCGGGG
rnacentral:lncRNA from 1 species